CAGUCGCCGCGGUAAAACGAAGGGGGCUAGCGUUGUUCGGAUUUACUGGGCGUAAAGGGCGCGUAGGCGGACUGAUAAGUCAGGGGUGAAAUCCCAAGGCUCAACCUUGGAACUGCCUUUGAUACUGUUUGUCUUGAGUUCGAGAGAGGUAAGUGGAACUGCGAGUGUAGAGGUGAAAUUCGUAGAUAUUCGCAAGAACACCAGUGGCGAAGGCGGCUCGCUGGUCCAUUACUGACGCUGAGGUGCGAAAGCGUGGGGAGCAAACAGGAUUAGAUACCCCGGUAGUCCCUGUCUCUUAUAC
rnacentral:rRNA from 1 species